GUAUGGGUCCUUCUGUUAAUCUCGGCAACUGCUUAUUAGUAAGUGGACAGUCACUGGGAUUGACAGAAGGAUCGAUCC
ensembl:miRNA aca-mir-5398 aca-mir-5398